AUACAAUCAGCUUAAUGCUUCGAAGGCCAAGGGCUAGCUAAGCUUCAAGUUCAUGAAAUUCAGGCAAUUAACUGCAUUCAACUAAUUUUUUAACUGAAACUAUAGGAGAACAGACAAAUUAUGGAACUGUCAGGAGAUAGUUAACGGUACAAAUUUUUAUUGAUAUAUGGCCAAAAUCAAAGAAGGGUGUUGGUAACCAACAAGUCAGAGGAGACCUCAAAACAGGAGCUGCUUAGGGUGGUGUGCACAACAUUUGGAGUGAAAGAAGAAGAUAUUUUUCCUGCAGACAUGGCAAGACAAAUUCUACGAUUUUGCAGACAUGGAAGAGGACGAACUUGUGACAGGCCCAUUGAGAGUAAAAAUUACAAACUACCUGUGGUCCUCGGUGCACAGCAACUGGUGAAUGGUGGAGAGCACAUAGAGUGGAUGAGCACUGAAAAAAAGGCAGCCAGACUUCAAGAGAGUUGAGUUCUGCAUGCAGAAGACACUGGCAGACAGAAGGGCAUGGAUCAUAAAUUCUGUCCCUCGGCCAAGGAUCACUGAUGACCGACUGAAGUAUCCUUGGCUCUUUGAUGAGGAUCAGGUAAUCUAUGCAGAGUUUUCUCACCAGAUUUUGAAAUAUACUGAAUAUCCCGAGAUUGAUUGAAUGCUGACGGACGUUGAUAGAGUUGCUUACUCAAUGUUUCCCUAUUACAGUGAUUUACAGAAUGUAUUGGAAACUUCUAACUCCACAUGGAUUAUCCAAACUUGCUCAUAAACUUAAUUUAUUCAAGAGGUGUGAACUUCAUAUGUGGUCCUUGUAUGUAAAAUUCAGGUUAUUUUCUUGUCAAAGCAAUAUCACCUAAACAGCUUGAGGUAUGGAUGUAAAAACUUGGUGUUUAACAUGUACCAUCAUUAGGAAGACGAUUUGAAUGGAUUUUGGAAUAUGUAGGUCAAAGGUCAAUUUGUGAAAUUUAUUUGUUCAAACACAUGGGCCCGUAUUCUGAUAGCAGGUUUAAUUUAACCCUAGUCUAAAGUUAACCCUAGUUUAAUUAAACCUCCUCUAAACCUCACCUCUGGUCCAAGUGUAGUUUAAUUAUUUUGGUAUUCUGAUAGCCGGGUUUAACUAAACCUGGGUUAAACCCGGGUUUAAAAUUCUUUUUGAAAAUAAUAACCCUCUUUUAACCAAGACUAGCACCUUUUUGGUAAAUUACUGCUGCAGGGGUGAUUGCAACAAAGUUGAAAAAAUGGCACUAAAGUCGUUUUUUCUUAAAAUAAUUGAUAUUAUGGAAACUAAUAACAACUAUUGUAGUGAAAGAAAAGCAUUCAUCACCCAUAUAUGGUAAGAAAUUUUCAUUUCAAUUAUAUUUAUUUUUGUUAAUUACUAAAACAUUUCAACCCCAAACCGAGUGACCUGCACAGUUUUUGAGUAUCAGUCCCAUUUAUUUAUUUUCAUGUUUGUCAAAAUCUAAAUUGAAUAGAUUCCCCUCAACCACUCUAGACUAGAGUCUAGACCCUAGUCCUAGAUCUAAAACAAUAAGCUAAGAGGUCGACGUCUUUAUUCUAACUUUAAGUAAGGGAAUUUUUUAUAACUUUUGAGAGUAGUCUUGAGUCUAAAUAGGCCUAUAGUUAGAUCUGGCCUAGGCCCAAUUGUUUGGAGGAGAAUUGAACAUAGUUUUUACUAACUAAGUUAGGCCUAGGCCUAUUUGAUUUUUUUUUUUACUUUCCUGAAGCAAAACAUAGUCUAGUGAGUUAGUGGAGCAACCAAGACUGAAGAUAAAUAUUGGUCUAGGCCUAGAACAGCAUUCAUGACUUAGGCUGGCUUAGCUUAGGGACAGGGAUAGAUUAUAGUACUAUUCUAAAGUAACCUUAGGCAUAGGCUAGAUCUAGUGGAAUGGAUCUGAUUUGUCUUAGACAAAAAGCUUUGAACAGUCUCUGUAUUGGUUGUUCUGCUGAAUUAUGACACUCUACGUUGGCCUCUCUCACCAAGGCAAUGUUAUAUGACAGUAAAAUGUCAGAAUUUUUAAAAUAAAUCCCCAGAAACAACGCCAACGGUUAUUCCUGUCUACAGACAGUACAGUGUUAGAUCUCAUUAUCGCUGCAUUGCUUGCCAAGUAACUGAGCCUGGCUAAAUUUAGAAUUAGUUCAAGACAUCUCUCUACUCCUGUUUUAGGUCCAUAUCUGUUUCUUUGAAGAGUUUUUUAUUCAAACAUUUUUGGGGACUCGUUUAGGUUUCCAGAUCCAGGACUAGAAAACAGGCCCAAACCUAGACCAACAGCUCAGUCUUGACUAACCCAGGGAGCUCCCUGGGUUAAGUCUUGACUAGACUAGGCCUGGCCUAGAUUUAUGUAAGAAUUUAGAUCUAGGCCUAGGCCUAACGUUAGUCUGUGCUAUAUAUUCAUUCUAGAUUUCUAGCCUAGCCCUAACUGGCUGAUCUAGUCUACUGUAUGAUCUAGAAUCUCUAACGCUGGCCUAGAUCUAGACUAAAUAACUUAGACUAAAAGUUAAACCCUAUCUAGACCUAGAACUAGAUCUAUAUCAAUGUAAUACAUGUAAUAGGUCUAGAUCUAGAGAUUUGUAGACUCUCGACAUGCUCAAUGUAGAUUCUAAAUAAAUAAAAAAGUAAAUGUUGGCUAGUCUCGAGGCUAGUCUACAGUAGAUCUAAUCAUCUAACGUUAGGCCUUAAAAUAAAGUAGGCUGGAGAUCUAACGUUGGAUUAUUUCUAUUACUAGAUCUAAAGGAUCUAGACCUAGAUCUAAAGCUAGGGACUGUAGUGGGACUGUAGUUCGAGAUCUAAAGUUAGAGGUCUAGCAACCCCCUUAAAACUAGUACUAAGCCUACAGCUACAUGUUGUUCUCUGUGUAGCCAAACAACAGUUAGCAUUGUCUUAAUCUUAUUUUGGUUUGUGUAGUUACCGUACAAACACAUAUUUUGAUGAAUGAGAAAAUGUGCCUUGCAGAUUAUUUUACCUCAAGUCAAAACCUCGUGUUCUAAAUUUCAUGAGCAUACAUGUAGGCCUAUGUCAUAAAAUGAAGAAGCAGUUCAAUCCAUUAGAUGUGUUUACACAUUUAUUGAUUUAAUAUGCUGUCACCAUGGCAACACAGUUUCCAACACACACAAAUAUAUGUCUUGCAGAUCUAUACCUCAAAACCAAUGUGUGAGCCAACUUUUAUAAGAAUUAGUUGAAAACUAAUGAAGGAGUUCAGAUUUUCACCUAAUUUCAUUAUGUAAUAUGUUGUUACCAUGGCAACAUGAUUUCUCAUACAUACAAAAAUAUGUCUUGCACAUCUUCAACUUAAGACUAAUGUGUGUGCCAAAUUUUAUGAGCAUUGGCUGGAAAAAGAUGGGAGUUCGAACUACCAAAUUCUCACCUUAUUUUCUUUAUUUGAUAUGUUGUUACCAUGGCAACACGAUUUCUGAUACAGACAAAAAUAUAUCUUGGACAUCUUCAUCUCAACAUUAAUGUAUGUGCCAAAUUUCAUGAGAAUUGGUUAAAAACUGAGGAAGUAGUUGGAACAGCAAGAUUUAUACAUAGUUUUUGCCAUAAUAUACCGUUACCAUGGCAACACAAUUUCCGACACAUGGAAAUAUGUGUCUUGCACAUCUUUACCUCAAAACCAAUGUGUGAGCCAACUUUCUUGAGAAUUGGUAGAAAACUGAUAAAAGUAUUUUAAACGGCAAAAUUUUUGCCAUAAUAUACUGUUUCCAUGGCAACACAAUUUCCAAAAAAGAAAAAAAAAAUUCUUACACCUCCUUACCUUGAGAACAAUGUGUGUUCCAAAUUCCAUGAAAAUCUGUUAAAAACUGAGGAAGUAGCUUGCAAUGCAAUAUAGGCAUACAUUCUAAAAAAAUUGUUGGCCAUGCUUUGUUGGAUUUAAACCAGGCUUAAACUACCCCCAGCGCGAGUUUAACUUUUUGAAGAUUUAUUACCACACUUAGACCAGGGUUAACUUAAACCUUGCUAUCGGAAUACGAAACUUAAACCUAGGUUUAAAUAUGGCAGUUUAUUACCACACUUAGACCAGGGUUAAGUUAAACCACGCUAUCAGAAUACGGGCCAUUGUCACCUUAACAAUUUGAAAUAUAAAUGUGAAACUUGGUGCUAACAUGUACCACUAUAGGAGAUGAUCUGGAUAUAUUUUGGAAUAUGUAGCUCGAAAGUAAAUUUGUGAAAUUCAGGUAAUAUCUUUGUUAAUGCAAUGUCACCUUAACAGUAUGAAAUAUGGAUGUAAAACCUGCUAGCAUGUAUCACUGGGAAGAGGAUGCAUUGAGUAGUGUAUGUUUCAUUGACUGUUUUUGAAAAUUUGACUCGAUGUCUCUAAUCUUCAAAUUAAAGGUCUAGUCCACCCCAGGAAAAUGCUGAUUUGAAUAAAUAGAGAAAAAUCAAACUAGCAUGAAAUUUUAAAGUUUUGCUUAUUUUCAACAAAACAGUGAUAUGCACAACUAGGUGAGCCAAUGAUGUCACUCACUAUUUCUUUUGUUUUUUAUUGUUUGAAUUAUACAAUAUUUCAAUUUUUACGAAUUUGAUGAUUAGGACCUCCUUGCCUGAAGCACAAAAUGUUAAAAUAAUUGAAUUCCACGUGUUCAGGGACGAAUGAAACUUCAUUUCACAUGACAAUGACGAGAAAAUCAAAAUAUUUCAUACUUCAUAUAAUAAAAUACAAAAGAAAUAGUGGGUGAGUGAUGUCAUCAGUUCCCUCAUUUGCAUACCGACUGAGGUGUGCAUAUAAGCGUUUUGUGAAAUGAAGCAAAAAUUUAAAAUGUCAUAACUUUCUUAUUUUACUUCCGAUUUUGAUGAAAUUUU